GACUUCAACAAGAAAGAUAAAGACCAGCAACGUCCAGACCCAGCGUCAUCUGGUCUCAGAAAGUGCAAGAGAGCUGGAAUUGGACACACAGCAGUAAGAAAGCUUCCUGAAGAAUAAGUUGCUUUCUCAGGAGUCCCUGAUGACAAAUAUCCUGAAUGAAAACAGCACUUGAGAGACAACUUGGGGGACCUCCUUUCAUUAUGUGUGCAAGAGGAGAAACAGCAAUACAUCUGUGCUUCUAAAUGUUCAUUAAGAAUGUGCUGUUUAGAAAUAUUUUUGUUAUGAUUUUAAUUGAAAUUUUCUUUUUGUUGUUUCAUAUUUAUAUGUUCUUG
ensembl:lncRNA